UUUUUUUUUUUUUUUUUUUGGUUUUUUUGAGACAGGGUUUCUCUGUAUAGCCCUGGCUGUCCUGGAACUCACUCUGUAGACCAGGCUGGCCUCGAACUCAGGCCUGCCUCUGCCUCGAGAGUGCUGGGAUUAAAGGCGUGCGCCACCAUGCCCAGCUCCUUUUUUUUUUUUUUGAGACAGAGUCUUGCUAGAUAACACAGUGUAAUCCCAAGUUACUGCUUUAGCUUCCUGGGUGCAUGGAUUUCUUUUUUAAAAGGAAAAAAAACUUAAAUUAUUGUUUUUAGAAAUUAAGUUCAUAACAUACAUGGUUUCGUAUAAAUGGAAUCAUGUUCAAAGAAAGUAUUUUGGGUUACUCAUAAUUAAUUUUUUUUCUAUUCACCUGGCAAGCUGUGGGGUGUGGUGCCCUCUUCAGUUCCAGUACUCAGAAUGUGGAGGUGAAAACAUCUAGAUUUCAAGUCUGUCCACAGCAGCACAGCGAGCUUGAGGCCAGCCUGGGCUAGAAGAGGUCCUGUCCCAAUUUUUUUUUAAAAAGUAUGGGCAGGUUUUCUAUUUCCUGGAUUUUGUCCACAUAAAGCCUUUGCAUUCUUUUGCUUUUUGUAUUUUAGUAAUAUUUUGUAUUUUGAGACCGGGCCUUUCUAUAUAGCUGAUUUCAAACUUACUACCCUCCUGCCUUCACCUCCUGGUAAGACAUGGCUGAUUGGACAGUAACUAUAGCACAACUGGCUGUAUAAACAUCUGGGUGGAAAUGUGCUGUCCCUCUAAGGCUCUGUAGGAUUUAUAAACCUUCUCCUCCUAGGCCCUUACAGGAGACCCUCACAAUCCAAGGACAGUGGCACAGCUUGCUGGCAGUGCUCAGCACUCAAUACUUUCUCAACUGUUUGAGAUACACGCUUUCUUCUUUCCCCUCCUGGUAUGGAGAGGGUGUCCUCUGUGUACGGGGUUCAUUGGCUCUGAGUUCUCAAGGCCUUCACCCUAUGGGUUUGAGCCUCUGCUUUAUUUCCUUUCUCAUUAUCUUUACAUCCUAGCUCUCUGAGCUUCCGUUGUCUGUUAAAGAUCUUAUUAAGUAGUAUAACAAGCAUCUUAGUUGUAACAGCU
rnacentral:lncRNA from 1 species